rnacentral:rRNA from 1 species
GUCGAACGCAAGUAGCAAUACUUGAGUGGCGGACGGGUGAGUAACGCGUGAGAAUCUGCCUAGAGGUUGGGGACAACCACUGGAAACGGUGGCUAAUACCCAAUGCGCCUAUUCGUGAAAGAUUUAUCGCCUCUAGAUGAGCUCGCGUCUGAUUAGCUAGUUGGUAGGGUAAAAGCCUACCAAGGCAUCGAUCAGUAGCUGGUCUGAGAGGAUGACCAGCCACACUGGGACUGAGACACGGCCCAGACUCCUACGGGAGGCAGCAGUGGGGAAUUUUCCGCAAUGGGCGAAAGCCUGACGGAGCAAGACCGCGUGAGGGAGGAAGGCUCUUGGGUUGUAAACCUCUUUUGUCAGGGAAGAACACAAUGACGGUACCUGACGAAUCAGCAUCGGCUAACUCCGUGCCAGCAGCCGCGGUAAUACGGAGGAUGCAAGCGUUAUCCGGAAUUAUUGGGCGUAAAGCGUCCGCAGGUGGCUUAUCAAGUCUGCGGUCAAAGACCGGGGCUUAACCCUGGAAAGGCCGUGGAAACUGAUAAAGCUAGAGUACCGUAGGGGUAGAGGGAAUUCCCGGUGUAGCGGUGAAAUGCGUAGAGAUCGGGAAGAACAUCGGUGGCGAAAGCGCUCUACUGGACGGUGACUGACACUCAGGGACGAAAGCUAGGGGAGCGAAUGGGAUUAGAUACCCCAGUAGUCCUAGCCGUAAACGAUGGAUACUAG